rnacentral:lncRNA from 1 species
UUCAAAGAGAUUUACAGAGACCACGUCUGGUGGAGGGAGAGGAGGAACAGGACUGGCAGGUGCGACUCCGGCCCCUCUGGAGAAGGAGCGAGCUGUGACAAGAAGAACCAAAGCCAUGGUCUUGGCAGAAGCGGAGCGUGGCCAAAGGCACAGUGAGAGCGACGGGACACGCGGGGGACAGGCCACGGCUGUCCCUGCUCACUUUCUGCUCAUGCCUGGCGCUCGGCUGGACGCUUCUCAGAAUCAACCUCUCAUCCUCACAGCGGCCCCGGAAGAUGAGAACAUCAGGAUCAGAGAGGCAGAAUAAUGUCCCAGAGGGCCGCAGUGUGGAGAGGGAGGGCGCCCGAGAGGAACCGGCAGCUGUGGAGCCAGAUCCCGAACCCCGACAGUCCCCACAGAUGGCAUCAGCGGCCUGGAUUCCCUUUACCUCCUCCCUCAGUGCUGGGAGCCUUCUGCAGACGAGCCAGUGCAAAGGUGGAAACGUGGGAUUUGCAGGACUCACACGUCCAUAG